rnacentral:lncRNA from 1 species
AAAAGCAACAAGGUUGAAGUUUCCACACCUGUCAAGAAAGCACCUGUCAUCCCAGGCAAAAUGGCAGCAGAUAUUGUCAGUCAAGAAGAUAGUCGCACUGGGCAAAGCAGCAGCAAUAUGUGGCAAGAAAGAAGUCACACUGGGAAAAGCAGUUGAGGCAACCACUAGCUAGAAGGGAACCACCACACCAGCUAAGGAGGAAAAGAAUACUAAGAAUGCCAUGAUGAGGAAAACAAAAAUGACAAAGACAACAAGGAGGACAAAGGUGAUGAAGAGGAAAAUAACUCUAAAGAAGAUGCAAUGAAUUUACUAUAAUUUUGAUAGGAAAGAAAGUUCAUGCAAAAUCUCUUCCUGUGAAGGCCAAAAGCAUGGUUGAGGACAAGGAGGAUGAAGAGGACAGGGACGAUGAUGAAGAUGAUGAGAACAAUGAGGAAGAUGGUGAAGAAGAGGAGAAUGAGGGGGAAGACAGUGACAAUGAUGAGGAAGAGCCUACCAAAGAAGCACCUGGAAAAUGGAAGAAGGAAAUGUCCAAACAGCAACCAGCUUCCAAAGCCAAGAAAUAGAAAAUGGAUGUCAGUAUUAAUGGAUCUUAGGAGCUUAGCUGUGUGAAUUUUGAAACUUCUGACCUGGAAAAAGCCUUGGAACUCACUAGUUCUAAAGCGUUUGGCAAUAAAAUUAAACCAGAAAAGCCAAAGGGAAAAAAUAAGAUUGAGAUUUCAUAACACUUUUAUUCAAAAUUCUGUCUUGGAGUCAUUCAGGAUGAAUUUAAAGAAGUGUUUGAAGACUCUAUGGAGAUCAGAUUAGUCAGUGACAAUGGAAAGAGCAAAGGGAUGUCCUACAUUGAAUUUAAGACAGAAGCUGAUGCAGAGAAAACCUUGGAAGGAAAGCAGGGAACAGAAGCCAAAGGGAAGUCUAUUUCCCUCUACUAAACUGGAGAAAAAGAUCAAAAUCAGGACUACAGAUGUGAAAAGCGUACCUCUUGGAUUAGUACAUUGAAAACUGGUUUUAAACAACCUCUCCUAAAAUGUAACAGAAGAAACUUUGCAGGAAGUAUUUGUGAAGGCAACUUCUAUCCAAGGUGCCCCAGAACCACAAUGGCAGAUCUAUAGGGUAUGCACUGAUAGGAUUUGCUUCCUUUGAAAAUGCUAAAGAAGCUUUAAAUUCCUGUAAUAAAAGAGAAAUCAAGGGCAGAGCAAUCACACUGAAGCUGCAAAGACCCAGAGCAACUAAUGCAAAAAGCCAGCCAUCUGAAAGUGUUUCUCAGGGUCUGUCUGAGGACACUACAGAAGAAACAUUGAAAGAGUUCAUUGAUGCUUCUGUUCAUGUCAGGAUAGUCACCAACCAGGAUGGGUUUGGUUUCUCGACUGCAGCAGUAAGGAAAAUGCUAAAUCCACUAAGGAGGCCAUGGAAGAUGGCAAAAUUAAUGAAAAUGAAGUUACUUUAGACUAGGCCAAGCCUAAAA